rnacentral:rRNA from 1 species
UACGUAGGGGGGCAAGCGUUUGUCCGGAUUCAUUGGGCGUAAAGCGCACGUAGGCGGUAUUGCAAGUCGGAUGUGAAAUCCCUCGGCUUUAACCAAGGAAGUGCAUCCGAAACUGCUGUACUUGAGUACGAAAGAGGAUCGCGGAAUUCCCGGUGUAGAGGUGAAAUUCGUAGAUAUCGGGAGGAACACCAGUGGCGAAGGCGGCGAUCUGGGUCGAUACUGACGCUGAGGUGCGAAAGCGUGGGGAGCAAACAGG